rnacentral:rRNA from 1 species
GAAGGCGUAAGACCCGAUGGUCUGCCGGGACCGCAUGGUCUGGUAGUAAAUGGCGGGAUCCUUCGGGAUCGCCUGCUCGCAGAGGUGAUUGCGGCCCAUCAGCUAGUUGGUAGGGUAAUGGCCUACCAAGGCAACGACGGGUAGCCGGCCUAAGAGGGUGGUCGGCCGCACUGGGACUGAGACACUGCCCCAGACUCCUACGGGAGGCUGCAGUCGAGAAUCUUCCGCAAUGGGCGAAAGCCUGACGGAGCGACGCCGCGUGGAGGACGAAGGCCUUCGGGUUGUAAACUCCUGUCACGAGUUAAGAAGGCGCAUGUGCGAACAGCAUAGGCGUUUGACGUAAGCUCGAGAGGAAGCACUGGCUAACUCUGUGCCAGCAGCCGCGGUAAUACAGAGAGUGC